UACAGAGGUCCCAAGCGUUGUUCGGAUUUAUUGGGCGUAAAGGGUGCGUAGGCGGCGGAGUAAGUUGGGUGUGAAAUCCCGGGGCUCAACCUCGGAAUUGCAUUCAAUACUGCUUCGCUUGAGUACUGGAGAGGAGGCUGGAAUUUACGGUGUAGCAGUGAAAUGCGUAGAUAUCGUAAGGAAGGCCGGUGGCGAAAGCGAGCCUCUGGACAGUUACUGACGCUGAUGCACGAAAGCCAGGGGAGCAAACGGG
rnacentral:rRNA from 1 species